rnacentral:tRNA from 1 species
GGUCUGGUGGUGUAGUUGGUUAUCACGUCAGUCUAACAAUUCGAGCGCUUCGCCUCUCGUCUGGUUCACUGAAGGUCUCCGGUUCAAGUCCGGGCUAGAUCA